rnacentral:rRNA from 1 species
CGAAGCAACGCGAAGAACCUUACCAGGUCUUGACAUCCCGAUGCUAUUUCUAGAGAUAGAAAGGUUACUUCGGUACAUCGGUGACAGGUGGUGCAUGGUUGUCGUCAGCUCGUGUCGUGAGAUGUUGGGUUAAGUCCCGCAACGAGCGCAACCCCUAUUGUAGUUGCCAUCAUUCAGUUGGGCACUCUAGCGAGACUGCCGGUAAUAAACCGGAGGAAGUGGGGAUGACGUCAAAUCAUCAUGCCCCUUAUGACCUGGGCUACACACGUGCUACAAUGGUUGGUACAACGAGUUGCGAGUCGGUGACGGCGAGCUAAUCUCUUAAAGCCAAUCUCAGUUCGGAUUGUAGGCUGCAACUCGCCUACAUGAAGUCGGAAUCGCUAGUAAUCGCGGAUCAGCACGCCGCGGUGAAUACGUUCCCGGGCCUU